GGGGGUUCUUCACGAGGGCAGGUUGUAUAGGUGUCUUUGUAGCGUUAGUUGCUUCGCACUCUGUACCGGUGGGUGGCGGUGAUGCACAUUGUUUGCCAACCGCCAUAAAAGAAGUAGUAGUUGCACGAGGUCAUGAGAACGCACGAAGAAAAAACGACAGAGUAUGUUUGCGUGUGUCUGGGACUUUCUUUCGGUCGAAAUGAACUCUCCAUUUCGUCCAGAUGUCUUAAAUUGAGUUAAUUUGGCUUGGAAUGGAAGAGCAGUUGACCGAAGCUAACUGGGUUAGCUUAGCUGCAGUGCAGCAAACGCAAUCGUGUAAGUCGUCGAGUUUCUUCUUUGUGCAACUCAUCCAGUGUUGACUUGAAUGGCGUUGAGAAGUGAAGACGUUUGAAGUCAAAAUGUGACUGUCCGAGGGGAAGGAAGGAAGGAGAAUUCGACUUGCCUUCAAGCCCAGAAGCUUCGGGGGACCGAUGGCGCUGGAUUUGCUUGUUUGAAGACAGACGCAAGCCUGAAGAAGAGGCGCCAACAUAGCGCGCUUCCUGUUUUGACUGCAGGCACGUGAUGGCAUUGAACGUGCAUUGUCUUCUUCCAGCAGGCUGCGAUCUGUGCAUUCAGCUCAUGUCUUUCUCUCACCCUUUAAAAUAAAGGAUUUGAAAAAAA